rnacentral:misc_RNA from 1 species
GAUGAAGAACGCAGCGAAAUGCGAUAAGUAAUGUGAAUUGCAGAAUUCAGUGAAUCAUCGAAUCUUUGAACGCACAUUGCGCCCGCCAGCACUCUGGCGGGCAUGCCUGUACGAGCGUCAUUUCAACCAUCAAGCCCCCAGGGGCUUGUGCUGGGGCCCUGCGGCUGCCCGCAGGCCCUGAAAACCAGUGGCGGGCUCGCUAGUCACACCGAGCGCAGUAGCACAUCUCGCUCAGGGCGUGCGGCGGGCUCCUGCCGUGAAACCCCCCACUGUAACCCCAAAGGUUGACCUCGGAUCAGGUAGGAAUACCCGCUGAACUUAAGCAUAUCAAUAAGCGGAGGA